GACGAACGCUGGCGGCGCGCCUAACACAUGCAAGUCGAACGACCGAGCGGAGGUUUACUUUCUCAAGCGAGUGGCGAACGGGUGAGUAACGCGUGAGGAACCUGCCUCAAAGAGGGGGACAACAGUUGGAAACGACUGCUAAUACCGCAUAAGCCCACGACCCGGCAUCGGGGAGAGGGAAAAGGAGCAAUCCGCUGUGAGAUGGCCUCGCUUCCGAAUAGCUUGGUGGUGAGGUAAUGGCCCACCAAGGCGACGGUUGGUAGCCGGGCUGAGAGGUUGAACGGCCACAUUGGGACUGAGACACGGUCCGGACUCCUACGGGAGGCAGGAGUGGGGAAUAUUGCACAAUGGGGGAAACCCUGAUGCAGCGACGCCGGGUGGAGGAAGAAGGUCUUAGGAUUGUAAACUCCUGUUGUUGAGGAAGAUAAUGACGGUACUCAACAAGGAAGUGACGGCUAACUACGUG
rnacentral:rRNA from 1 species